AUUGGCUUGAUAUUGUACUGUUGGUGAUAGCUACCAUCUGGAUUUUGAUCGGUUGUGUUGGUAUAUGUUGAGUUAUUCGUAGGCUGUAUUAUUUUCUUCUGGUGUUUUGGAUAAACAUGAUUUAAUCCUGCUGUUUGAUGCUGUACGUUUAAGGUCAUAAAUCUUGUUUCGAGUAUGUCCUUAAUUUCCAAUUGUCCACUUUAUUGUCAUUCAAAUUGUUGAUGUUGUAAAGUUAAAAAAAAACAUGGUUUUGCUUGUUGAUUAUCUGUUUAAAAUUGUGCCGUCUUUAGAGCCAAUUCGUGUUUUAAUCCAAAAUUCUGGUUGGCUUUCGCAUUGAGUUCGAUUGAUUCAUUGGCAUACAGAGUUUAAGCUGAAUAAGUUUUACUGCGUGAUUCUAAAGGUUUGCUUGCCUGGUAAUGACAGAGUGCAUAGAUAAGUAAUGUCUAGCCAUCAUAUGCAUUUCGUUUCGAAUAGCAAUUUGAUGCGUUAAUUGGAAUCAUGAGUGUUAAUGUAUGGCUUUACAAGUUUUAUUGAAAAACAUGGUUUUUGCAUGUUAAUAUUGCUUAAGUUGUCACAUAUUAUGAUGGGUUUUCAUGUGUGUUCUAGGGCGUUACUGUUGGUUCGAGUCUUUUCUUCUCCCUAAGCUUUAAUUCGGAAUGAAAGUAGCAUUUAAAGCAUCACGAUAAUGACUAUUAGAAUUCUAAUUUUACAAAGUAUACAUUAGUUAGUUACACUGAAUUCCGGAUUAUGGCGUGGCUUUUCUAGUUUCGGUACUCCGUAGGAAAAGGUUGUGGAGUGGGUUUACAGCCCUAUGAUUUUUCUUGCAAUUAGAAUGACAUUCAUAAUUGAUAUUUCUUUUAUUGAAUAUUUAGAGUUGUGUUGUUGUUAUAACUAUUGUAAAUAAUAUCAUUGUUUUUUUUUAUGAAUUUAAAUCCAGUGGAUCCGACUUCUACGUGUCGAUAUACCCUCAAAAGUUUCAACACAUCGAAAGAAUAUUUUUCGCCGAGUUAUGAGUUCGCGAAUAACAUUAAUUGUUGCUAUCUCGCAUAAACCGGUCUGAACACACCGAUUCAAUUCCUAUAAAUCAAAGUUGUCACUAAUUUGUUUUUUUCAUAAAAAAUAUUAUUAGUUGAAUUUUUGUCUGAUUAAUUGCUUUUAAUUAAUUAACCUUAAUUAACUUAAUUAUUUAAGAUAAUUAAAUAGUUUUGAUAAUUAGUUUUAAUUAAUUCGAUUAAUCAACUUACUUAAAAUUUGAUAAUAAUCAAAGGAUUUUCUUUUCCAUCACCAUUUCACAAUCAUUCUUAAUUCAACUUCAUUUCAAUUCAUUAUCCAUUCAAAGCCAAUUUCAAAAAGCACAAAUCACAAUUCUCGAUUUAACAUCGAGUCCAUUUUAAAACACCCUUGUAAGUCGAUUGCUCUUCGCAUCGCCAUCAACCUCACAUAGCUUACUCUUGGGCUUUCUUACAAUGAAGCCUACUUGGUUAUUGACUAAUCGAGUAGAUGAAAUAAUACACUAAAUAAAAAUUCAUUUCAUUUAUAAACACAAAUUCCAAUCACUUUUCCAAACCAUUCAAUUUCAAAAGAAUUUUCUUUUAAACAUAAAUUUGGGAUGAAAAGGAGAUAGGAAGCGUACGCUUCACUAUUUCUCAAGCACUUGAAUAAUUGGCGUACGCCAUAUUGCGCGAGUUCUUGUCACCCGAUUAAAUCUUAAAUCACACAAUUUCAAAUCAUUUCUACAAAUUCCAAAUACUUUUAAUUCCAUAUUUCAGAUGAAAAGGAGAAUAGUGAGCAUCCGCUUCAUUAUCUCUCGAUUAUUCGAAUAAUUGGCGUACGCCACAUUGCUCGAAUCUUCGUCAUCAAUUCAAAACCACAAUCGAAUAAACCCAAACCUACCAAAAUUCAAACCAUUUUCGCACAUCAAAUGCAACAUCCAAACAUAUCUUUUACAAUUUAAACCUCGGAUGAUAAAAGAGAUAGGAGGCGUACGCCUCACCAUCUCUCAAUUAUUUGAAUAAUUGGCGAACGCCAUAUUGCACAAAUUAUCGACGUCCGACUAAAACACGCUAAAUAAACUUGGAUAAGGGAAUAAGAGACCCACCUUCAUCUCCUCCACAAAUCACCGUCAUCACGCUCACCACCACCAAACCCCAAAUCGCUUCACCUUCAAAAACCCUCAACCCUCUUCUCCUUCGUCAUCAACCGCUUCAAACCCUAUCCACCACUCUAACCAUCAAACCCUCACCGUGAAUCGCCAUCACUAACCGUGAAGCUCGCCGCCGCUCAAACCUCCGCUUCUUCACCACCAACAAACCCUCGCGAAUCCACCAUCUCCAACUCACCAUCGAAACCCAUUCACCUCACAACCCCAAAAUCGUCCACGGUUCUCCACCAGGAACAACUCCACGAACAACCACCUCCGUAAAAAACGCGACACACCACCAACACCUCAAAACCCUCGCUCCAUCCGCUACUGCAACUCUUUUACUCCACCGACAAAACGCACACAACCGUCAUUCAUUCUUGCUCAAGUAUGGAGGCCACUCACGAUCGAUUCACUAAAGCAGAGAGGCCAUUCUUUAUCGAUCCAAAAUUCUACUCAGUGAGGUUAGAUUCAUGGUUUUUGAUUCCCAGCUCCGGACUGUGACCUAGCAUUCAAACGGCACCAAGCGAGUAACUUCGAUCAACCCUUUCAUCGACUCAACUUCUAUCCAGGGCUUCAACAUUGGUUCAGCAUUACGGUAACGGUUUGCAUUACUAUUGGCUUGAUAUUGUACUGUUGGUGAUAGCUACCAUCUGGAUUUUGAUCGGUUGUGUUGGUAUAUGUUGAGUUAUUCGUAGGCUGUAUUAUUUUCUUCUGGUGUUUUGGAUAAACAUGAUUUAAUCCUGCUGUUUGAUGCUGUACGUUUAAGGUCAUAAAUCUUGUUUCGAGUAUGUCCUUAAUUUCCAAUUGUCCACUUUAUUGUCAUUCAAAUUGUUGAUGUUGUAAAGUUAAAAAAAAACAUGGUUUUGCUUGUUGAUUAUCUGUUUAAAAUUGUGCCGUCUUUAGAGCCAAUUCGUGUUUUAAUCCAAAAUUCUGGUUGGCUUUCGCAUUGAGUUCGAUUGAUUCAUUGGCAUACAGAGUUUAAGCUGAAUAAGUUUUACUGCGUG
rnacentral:lncRNA from 1 species